ACCUGGGUGGCUCAGUCGGUUAAGCACCUGACUUUGGCUCAGGUCAUGAUCUCACAGCUCGUGGGUUCAAGCCCCACAUCGAGCU
rnacentral:tRNA from 1 species